rnacentral:rRNA from 1 species
AUUGAACGCUGGCGGCAGGCCUAACACAUGCAAGUCGAGCGGAUGAACGGAGCUUGCUCUUGGAUUCAGCGGCGGACGGGUGAGUAAUGCCUAGGAAUCUGCCUGGUCGUGGGGGAUAACGUCCGGAAACGGGCGCUAAUACCGCAUACGUUCCGAGGGAGAAAGUGGGGGAUCUUCGGACCUCACGCUAUCGGAUGAGCCUAGGUCGGAUUAGCUAGUUGGUGGGGUAAAGGCCUACCAAGGCGACGAUCCGUAACUGGUCUGAGAGGAUGAUCAGUCACACUGGAACUGAGACACGGUCCAGACUCCUACGGGAGGCAGCAGUGGGGAAUAUUGGACAAUGGGCGAAAGCCUGAUCCAGCCAUGCCGCGUGUGUGAAGAAGGUCUUCGGAUUGUAAAGCACUUUUAGUUGGGAGGAAGGGCAGUAAGUUAAUACCUUGCUGUUUUGACGGUACCAACAGAAUAAGCACCGGCUAACUUCGUG